CCUCUCGCCUGAGUAGCCGUCCGCCGGGACCUUGGGCUGGAGGUGGACGGGUGGAGACAGCCUCCCGAGGAUGGUGCAAAUGAGGGAGGAGCCCAGAGGAGUGGCGCCUAACCCAGCCAGUGAGUGGGGAAUCAGAGAAGGCUUCCUGGAGGAGAUGAGAUCCAAGCUGAGUAUUAGAAGACGAGAAGACAGAGCCCAAAAAGGGAAGGGAAAUCCAGCCAGAGGGAACAGAAUGAGAAGAGGCAUAGAGCACCGUGGAUAGACUCCCAAGGAGGAGAGGGAACAAAAUCUGCUCCUUGAUGAAGGAAGGAGAUGGAGAGCAAGCUACAGGGAGGAGGGUGUCACAGGUAGCUGAACACCAUAGGUGGAGCAAAGGACCCAGACAGAAGAGAUGACUUGCCCCAAGCCACACUGUGAGGUUGGGGG